rnacentral:ribozyme from 1 species
UUUUUUUUUUUUUUUUGUUGUUUUUUUUUUUUUUUUUUUUUUUUUUUUUUGGUUCUCUUCGUGGGUGUGUUGUAUAGUAUUCUAUAGUUCAGGUUGCCGAGAAGGAUGUACUGAAA